AAUUGAUUAGUCUAAAAAAGACAAUUGUUUUGAAAACAAUAAAUGAAUAAUUGUAAAAUCAUCAAUUU
rnacentral:tRNA from 1 species